ensembl:ncRNA T28C12.13 ncRNA
AUUAUUGUGCUUACCCGCACCCCGUUGCUUUCCAGUACAGUACAAACAAAAACAUUUGGGUGCCAAUGGACACGGUAAACACACGUGAAUCCACACGUUGCGUAUUCCGGAUCGUCUUUCAUGUUGUUUCCAGUCUGCCUGUGUUGGCCUGACAGACUCAGUUACACCAAGACAAUCCAAUGACCAAAGAGUUAGAGAGUGUGUGAGAGGAAGAGA